UAAGAACUGGAUAUGAUGACUGAAAUAAGCUCCAUAUCAACGAGAAUUUCGAUGGGAUUAUGUGCAGUCAAUGUCCAGUAAUUA
rfam:Pongo abelii chromosome 3.